GACGAACGCUGGCGGCGUGCUUAACACAUGCAAGUCGAACGGAAAGGCCCUGCUUUUGUGGGUUGCUCGAGUGGCGCACGGGUGAGUAACACGUGAGUAACCUGCCCUUGACUUUGUGAUAACUUCAGGAAACUGGGGCUAAUACCGCAUAGGAGCUCCUGCUGCAUGGUGGGGGUUGGAAAGUUUCGGCGGUUGGGGAUGGACUCGCGGCUUAUCAGCUUGUUGGUGGGGUAGUGGCUUACCAAGGCUUUGACGGGUAGCCGGCCUGAGAGGGUGACCGGCUACAUUGGGACUGGGAUACGGCCCAGAGUCAUACGGGAGGCAGGAGUGGGGAAUAUUGCGCAAUGGGCGGAGGGAGGAUGCAGCAACGCCGCGUGCGGGAUGACGGCCUUCGGGUUGUAAACCGCUUUCGCGUGUGACGAAGCGUGAGUGACGGUAAUGGGUAGAGAAGCACCGGCUAACUACGU
rnacentral:rRNA from 1 species